rnacentral:rRNA from 1 species
UAACACGUAGGGGGCAAGCGUUGUCCGGAUUUACUGGGCGUAAAGCGCGCGUAGGCGGCUUGUUAGGUUCCAUCGUGAAAGGCAGGGGCUCAACCCCUGGACUGCGAGGAAAACCGGCAGGCUGGAGAGAGGCAGAGGAAGGUGGAAUGGCUGGUGGAGCGGUGAAAUGCGUAGAGAUCAGCCGGAACACCCAAGGCGAAGGCAGCCUUCUGGGCCUCAUCUGACGCUGUGGCGCGAAAGCGUGGGGAGCGAACGGGAUUAGAUACCCCGGUAGUCCACGCCGUAAACGAUGGUCACUAGGUGUGGGGGGUAUCGACCCCCUCCGUGCCGGAGCUAACGCGAUAAGUGACCCGCCUGGGGAGUACGGCCGCAAGGUUG